rnacentral:rRNA from 1 species
GACGAACGCUGGCGGCGUGCUUAACACAUGCAAGUCGAACGGAAAGGCCCUGCUUUUGUGGGGUGCUCGAGUGGCGAACGGGUGAGUAACACGUGAGUAACCUGCCCUUGACUUUGGGAUAACUUCAGGAACUGGGGCUAAUACCGGGUAGGAGCUCCUGCUGCAUGGUGGGGGUUGGAAAGUUUCGGCGGUUGGGGAUGGACUCGCGGCUUAUCAGCUUGUUGGUGGGGUAGUGGCUUACCAAGGCUUUGACGGGUAGCCGGCCUGAGAGGGUGACCGGCCACAUUGGGACUGAGAUACGGCCCAGACUCCUACGGGAGGCAGCAGUGGGGAAUAUUGCACAAUGGGCGGAAGCCUGAUGCAGCAACGCCGCGUGCGGGAUGACGGCCUUCGGGUUGUAAACCGCUUUCGCCUGUGACGAAGCGUGAGUGACGGUAAUGGGUAAAGAAGCACCGGCUAACUACGUG